AGUGCGCAAGCGCCGGGCGGCAGCUGCACAGAGCAGGGGGAGCCGCGCCGCCGCCGCCGCCGGCAGUGCGGCCUCCGGGCGCCGCGGCCACCGGGCAGCGCCCCCGGGCCUCCUGCGCCCCCAGAGGGGACGCCCCGGACGCCCUCCUGGGGAGGUGGCGAAGGGCGCACGGCGACCCCCGGCUCUGGGCGCGCGGUGGGGGCGGGCGUGCGGACACGCGCGCUGACCCUUCCUCGGAGGCUGCAGGUGCCGAGGGGUCCAUGGGAGACAGCCGGUCUGCGGGGCGCGGGGGGGUCGCGUUCCCCGGGAGCCAGCCCAGCUGCCCCUGCCCAGCCCCCAGAGCGCGGCGGCGGGUGCAGUCGUGCAAGUUUCUUGCGGGUCUCUUGACUUCUCCGAGUUGAAGGCACCGGUUCGGGACGCGAGGUGCUCUUGGAAAGAGUUGGGCAUCGCGCAUCUCUGCUGGCCCGCGGCCCUGUUCAAAUGCGAGCUAGGACGUCGCCUGCCCCAGGCUUUGUCCUUUUGGAAAACUAGGGUUGUAGGAAGGUGCCUGGUGCCAGGCAGACCACCAGAGACUCUCGACCUUGAGUACUAAAGAGUUUUCUGCUCAGCAAAAGCUCAAUGAUGAUCAGCAUCGUAACAGGGACUCUUCCUCCCGCCCCCAGAAGUUCUCUUGUCAUAAACAAGGCGAGGGGGUCUUCGCUGAGCUUCACCAGAGGACCACGAUUUCACCUUAAGCCAUUCCUGACUUCAGUACCAGACUGAGACCAGGCGCUGCUACUGCCCAAAUGACCCCUGGUCCCAUCUACAAGGAGCACUUUUGAGGCCUCAGAACAGAGCCCCGGGGAGAAAUCUGCGAUGAUCAGGGUAACCUGGGUGCCGCAUCUUGCUGUUCAGCUGCAGCGGAACCGGCCGGACCAGAGCUAAUGCGCGCCCAGAAUGAAGAGGGAGACCGAGAGUGGCCCAAAUGUCAGCGCCCCGGGCCUGGAGAUGACAGCCCGACAGCAGCCAUUUCACAGCUGGGGAAACUGAGUCCUGGGAAAGUUUAAGGUUGCAGCCUUAAGUUGUUACUCAUUCUAGACGUUUCCCCUGAGGGUUUGGUCUUUGGGGAACACGCUACUGUGGAAAUGGAGAGACCGCAGGCCUUUUCCUAGGCAUUUGUUUUUACUAUUCUGAAACGCAGUCUCCUGACGUGAAAAAUGAAGAAAAGAACAAAUACUGGCCGGGCGCGGUGGCUCAUGCCUGUAAUACCAGCACUUUGGGAGGCCGAGGCGGGUGGAUCACUUGAGGUUAAGAGUUCGAUACCAGCCUGGCCAACAUGGUGGGUGAAACCCCGUCUCUACUAAAAAUACAAAAAUUAGCCGGGCGCGGUGGUGGGCUCCUGUAAUCGCAGCUACUCGGGAGUCUGAGGCAGGAGACUCGCUUGAACCUGGGAGACGGAGGUUGCAGUGAGCAGAGAUCCAGCCACUGCACUCCAGCCUGGGAGACAGAGUGAGACCCUGUCUCAGAAAAAAAAAAAAGGCCGGGCGCGGUGGUUCAUGCCUGUAAUCCCAGCACUUUGGAGGCCGAAGUGGGCAGAUCACGAGGUCAGGAGUUCGAGACCAGCCUGGCCAACAUGGAGAAACCCUGUCUCUACUAAAAAUACAAAAAUUAGCUGGGCGUGGUGGUGCAGGCCUGUAAUCUGAGCUACGCGGGAGGCUGAGGCAGGAAAAUGCUUGAACCUGGGAGGCAGAGGUGCAAUGAUCAUGCCAUUGCACUCCAGCCUGGGCAACAGAGCAAAACUGAAUCUCAAAAAAACAAAACAAAACAAAAUAAAACAAAACAAAACAAAAAAAGAAAGAGAGAAAGAAAAAGAAAAAAAAGAGAAAGAGAAAGAAGGACUUCAGAGAAUCGUUCCGAGAAUUUUCUGGGAAAAUAUGCAACAGCAGGUCAUAAAACAGAUCUCACAGAGAUAUGUGAGAUCAAUAGGUAUGUGCUUUGGGCCACAUGAAACUUUAAAAAAAUGUAUCUUAAAAUUUAAAAUAGGAAAAUAUUAUGUCAGAAUUCAAAUAGUGACUGAGGAACAGAUAAAUGUGUCUAUCCACACAAUGGAAUAUUAUUCAGCCAUAAAAGGGAAUGAAUACAUGCUACAACAUGGGUGAACCUUGAAACACGCUAAGUGAAAGAAGCCAGUCACAAAAGGAUAAAUAUGCGUAAGUCCAUUUGCGGGAGAUAUCUACAACUAGGCGAAUCCAUAAAGACAGAUAUCAGAUUGGUGGUUGCCAGAGGCAAGGGGGAGGGAGAGCAGGAGUGACUGCUAACGGAUGUGGGGUUUCCUUUCGGAGUGAUAGGAAAGUUCUGGAAUGAGAUAGUGGUGAUGGUUGCAGAACAAUGUGAAUGUACUUAAUGACGCUGAAUUGUACACUUUUAAAUGGUUACAAUGGUCAAUUUUAUGUGUAUUUGAUCAUAAUAAAAAGAAAUCUAGGCUGGGC
rnacentral:lncRNA from 1 species